rnacentral:rRNA from 1 species
AUUGAACGCUGGCGGCAUGCCUUACACAUGCAAGUCGAACGGUAACGCGGGGCAACCUGGCGACGAGUGGCGAACGGGUGAGUAAUGCAUCGGAACGUGCCCAGUAGUGGGGGAUAGCCCGGCGAAAGCCGGAUUAAUACCGCAUACGACCUACGGGUGAAAGGGGGGGAUCGCAAGACCUCUCGCUAUUGGAGCGGCCGAUGUCAGAUUAGCUAGUUGGUGGGGUAAAAGCCUACCCAGGCGACGAUCUGUAGCUGGUCUGAGAGGACGACCAGCCACACUGGGACUGAGACACGGCCCAGACUCCUACGGGAGGCAGCAGUGGGGAAUUUUGGACAAUGGGCGAAAGCCUGAUCCAGCCAUGCCGCGUGCGGGAAGAAGGCCUUCGGGUUGUAAACCGCUUUUGUCAGGGAAGAAAUCUUCUGAGUUAAUACCUCGGGAGGAUGACGGUACCUGAAGAAUAAGCACCGGCUAACUACGUGCCAGCAGCCGCGGGAA